CAUAAGCUGCGAUGUGCGUAUUCAACUAAGUUUUAACCUCUAAUGGUUAGUUCGGGAGUUUAAGAUUGAAACUGGAAUGUCGUGCCGUGCAAGAGAGGCGGAAGACAGGAACGUUUCUGCAAACACCCACCUGGUGAAAAGGUGGUUUAAAACUUCGUAUAAAGAGUACGGCAAUUGUGGCUCAUCC
rnacentral:other from 1 species